GCCGCAGUAACUCAACCCGGGAGAGUGACCCGCUGAAGACGGGUAUGUUGCUGGUUCAAAUCCGGCCUGCGGCA
rnacentral:tRNA from 1 species